rnacentral:rRNA from 3 species
CGUCGUAGUCCGGAUUGGAGUCUGCAACUCGACUCCAUGAAGUCGGAAUCGCUAGUAAUCGUGGAUCAGAAUGCCACGGUGAAUACGUUCCCGGGCCUUGUACACACCGCCCGUCACACCAUGGGAGUGGGUUGCAAAAGAAGUAGGUAGCUUAACCUUCGGGAGGGCGCUUACCACUUUGUGAUUCAUGACUGGGGUGAAGUCGUAACAAGGUAACCGUAGGGGAACCUGCGGUUGGAUCACCUCCUUACCUUAAAGAA